rnacentral:rRNA from 1 species
GAUUUCUGGUUUGGCGCACUUGGCCCGCUGCGGUUACGUAGUUGUGUGCCGGUGUGCGCCUACCAUCCCUCUAGAGAACUAUUACGCCCUUCACUGGGUUGUGGUAGGUAUCUAGAUCUUUUACUUUGAAAAAAUUAGAGUGUUUAAAGCAGGCUUGUGCUAUGAAUACAUUAGCAUGGAAUAAUAAUUUAGGACUUUAGUCUUAUUUUGUUGGUUUCUAGGACUGAAGUAAUGAUUGAUAGGGAUAGUUGGGGGUGCUAGUAUUCAGCGGCCAGAGGUGAAAUUCUUGGAUUCGCUGAAGACUAACUUAUGCGAAAGCAUU